UACAGAGGUCUCAAGCGUUGUUCGGAUUCAUUGGGCGUAAAGGGUGCGUAGGCGGCGCGGUAAGUCGGGUGUGAAAUUUCGAGGCUUAACUCCGAAACUGCAUUCGAUACUGCCGUGCUUGAGGACUGGAGAGGAGACUGGAAUUUACGGUGUAGCGGUGAAAUGCGUAGAUAUCGUAAGGAAGACCAGUGGCGAAGGCGGGUCUCUGGACAGUUCCUGACGCUGAGACACGAAAGCCAGGGGAGCAAACGGG
rnacentral:rRNA from 1 species